rnacentral:rRNA from 1 species
AUUGAACGCUGGCGGCAGGCCUAACACAUGCAAGUCGAGCGGGGUUUUCGGACCUAGCGGCGGACGGGUGAGUAAUGCGUAGGAAGCUACCCGAUAGAGGGGGAUACCAGUUGGAAACGACUGUUAAUACCGCACAAUGUCUACGGACCAAAGUGUGGGACCUUCGGGCCACAUGCUAUCGGAUGCGCCUACGUGGGAUUAGCUAGUUGGUGAGGUAAUGGCUCACCAAGGCGACGAUCCCUAGCUGGUUUGAGAGGAUGAUCAGCCACACUGGAGCUGAGACACGGUGCAGACUCCUACGGGAGGCAGCAGUGGGGAAUAUUGGAAAAUGGGCGCAAGCCUGAUCCAGCCAUGCCGCGUGUGUGAAGAAGGCCUUCGGGUUGUAAAGCACUUUCAGUAGGGAGGAAGCGUUGUGUGUUAAUAGUACACAGCGUUGACGUUACCUACAGAAGAAGCACCGGCUAACUCUGUGCCAGCAGCCGCCGUAAUAC